GUGGACCGUUCAUAAAUCUAAUUGAAUAUACAACCAAAAACAACGAAGCAGAAAUAAAUUUCAUUCGCAAGUAGUCCUUUGCCACAUGUAUAAAAAGAAGUUGAGAUCUUGCAUGAUGGCAGAGGGGAUUCGAAUUUUAUCGUUAACUAAUUUAACAAAAUCAAUGGUUUGAUAAAAAUAAAAGGGAAAGAAAUUUCAUUGACUCAAUCCAAUAGUAACUAGACACGUGCCGUCCCCACAUGGAUCCACCCCCCAAAAAGCGCGUGCGCCAUCUCCUACUCCCGCUUCACAAAGGCUCCCGACGCAACACAAGAACCUUCCCGAUUCAGUCUCCUACUCCGUCUCUGAAAAAUCCCAAAUUUUUUUUUCAUGUUUUUCUAGUCGGAAUUGUCGAUGGAAUCCAUUUCCAAGGAGAUCUCCGCCGUUAAAAACCCUAAGCCCAAUUCGCAUUCCCAUUCCCAUUCCCACUCCCAUUCCCCGACGUUUCUCCUCCACAACGGCUUCAGCGACGAGGUCGAUGUCUCUGACAUCGAGAUGAUCACGAUCCAGACCGUCACCUACACCAGCCUCAGGGACCUCCUCCCGGCGUCGCCGCAGCCAUCGAUCAUGUCACCGAUUCACAAUUCCAGCUGGCACGACGAGAUUCCGAUCAAGAACCCGCUCGUCAAGCAUGCCGCGCUGGCGUACCUCCAGCCGAUGUCCUCGCCGCCAGAGGUCGGCGAUAAGGGAUUAUUCCGGAUGAUCCGGGAGAAGUGCAACUGUGAGUUCGGGUGCCUCGGUUGGUUCGGCGACGUCGUUUUGAAGACAGUUAGGGACGUGUUUGGUGGCGUUUGUGGUUGUACGAAUAGUUUUGGCGAGAUUGGGGAUGAGGAAGACGAGGAGGGGGAGGAGGAGGAGGAGGAGUGUUUGAAGGUUGACUGAGAGUGAAGGAGAGGGGUAUUUUUGGAAAGUUAGGGGUUGACUGGUAGAUGAUGGUAAAGAGAGAAUUGAGUGAGGCCUUCUUUUUGUAUAUACCAUUUAUUUAAUUUUUUUUCUUUGUUGGUAAUUGAGUUUUGGUGGGUGGCUUUGUAAAUAGGUAUACAUCGUGUUCGAUUUAUUAAUCACCGAACGCAUGAUUCGUGGGAGAGAAUUUGAUUUUUUUCUUCUUCAAGAAAAUGUUAUUGAGAUUUAUUUUCUUGGUGCUGUAUAUAUUUUUUGGUCAAAUGUAAUAUAUGGAUCUCUCAGUUAAGAUUUUGUGGAAUUCUUUGCUUCUAGAUCGAUUAGUGACCAAGUUUUCUGCUUUGUUUUUUAAACAUUUUGAUUAUGACUUUCUACUUAUUUUAUGGUGUAUAAAUAUAAUUGCCGUGAGUAAAGUUUCGUGUUGAGUACUUAGUAGCUUUAGCUAUGGAGUUUUUGGAGAUGGAUCUGCGAUAUCAAACGAAAAAGAACACUAAGUAUGAAUGUUUUCGACUUUGAAGACUAAAUUUGUAAUCUAAACCCUACAGUAUUUUGGUGAUAAUGUUAUUAACCGAAGUAAGAUGAUGAUUCCAUUGCAUAGUGACAGCACCGAUUUGUCUUUGUAUAUCUAAAUACAAACCCAAAAGAAGUGCAUAUUCACAUUUUUAGAGGUUUAAUAACAAAUCUCAUAAAUUACAAAUAUUAUUUUUUUUUAACUUUUUCUCGGGCAAAUAUUCAAACUUAUUAAAUUAAACAAAUAUUCAUCAAACUUAUUAAAUUAAGCAAGUAUUCAACCUUCCAUGACUAUUUUAAGAACAUAGAACCACAUUCAUUACUAACUAUACAUGAACGUUCACACAUAAUUAAAAGAUUUUAUUGCCACCCACAAAACUCACCAGUAUUUUUAUAACAUUUUUCUUACAAGAAAAAAUGCUUGGCAGUUCACAAAAUGCUUCAAAAAUGAUAGAGACUCAAAAGAACAACUAAUCAAAGUAAGAUGCGGACUUAAUCUUCCUUACUCCUCUAGAAGAAAAUAUAAUAAAAAUGACUCUGUUACAGUGCAACCUACUAAUGUUCGAAUGCCAAACAAACUUGAAAUUAUUUUGUGAUAGCGAAUUUUAAGUAUCAAAUAUGGAAAAUUUUCCAACAUGAAGUAUGCAUACUAAUUAUAUAUACCAAAGACUAUUCCAUGAGGAUAUUGGGACCAUGACGACUAUGACAUUUUUGGGAGCUUAGUGACUAGUCACUAGUAUAUAAUAACAUCCUGGCUGACUAGGAUUAUCGUCGGUGAUCACUUCUAACUUCUAAGUGCUAAUCGUCUCAUGAGGGAUGCACAUACGUCACCUAAGAAAAGACGUCUGGUUUUUUGUAAUGCCAGGUAGAUUAAUUUAUAUAACAUGUGAUAUGUUAAAAAAUAAGCAUGUUGUUUAACACCUAAAUAAUAAUUCAAUUAUCAAUAACCACAUUAUAUAAUUUAUAAAACAUAAUUUAAAUAGAUGGUCUCCCUAAUAUUAUUUUUUUUAUAAUCUAACAUUUUUUUAAGUGAGCCUAUUACCAGGUACCUUUUAAGGGAGACAGUUGUUCCAAUUAGGCAUGCUAGCCCACCACAUUUUAUAUAAGGGGGCUAAUAAGGACACUUCAAAAAAAAAAAAUCAUUGUACCUUUCUUCCAAUUGUAUUUUCAU
rnacentral:lncRNA from 1 species